GGUGGCGGUGGGCUGGCGGUUCUGGCCGAACCGCGGCUGGUGGCUGCGGCGCCCGUGCGCACGGCUGCGCAGCCUGAGUCCCGCUCCUCAGCUGCUUCCGC
rnacentral:tRNA from 1 species